UCACAGCUCACAUGCACUAAUAUGUGAGUACGUUUAAGUUGAAGCAUGUCAGGAACAGAAAAUUGGGUAUACGUUAAAAUGGACCAUUAUAGGCACAUAAUGCUUGACUGCAUGUCAAACUGGUCUAUCCACGCACAUUUUUUUAGUACAUGUCAAACUGGAACAUACCGGGCAUAACACAAGAAGACAUUCAAAUUGAGCUAUCAAUAACCUGACAAGAUCAACAAGAAUUGCUAGCGAAAAUUGCUUCAACUUUCAUACAUGGCGGGCUAUGCUAAGUCUCAAGGACUAUGAUAAUCAUCACUGAGCAAGCAUUGCCAUUAAGAACUAGAUCGACGUUGCUAUCUUGAUGGCACACAAUAGUUGCCUCUAGAUGAAGUGCUUCUUGUUCAUCGAGCUUCUUGUCCUGGGAGAGAUCAUAUGUAACAAGUACGAUUCAGUUAGUGCAAGUCCAUCUAUGUGUCAUACAUUCAUACUUAAAACUUUGUAAUCAUGAGUUGAGCAAAUAAAUAUGCAUCAACAAGACCACCUGACGGUGUGUUGCACAUACCACACGGAACGAAAAAUAGAAAAGAAAUCACAUUCAUCACAAAAGACAAACUAAAAUAUGUUUCUUUACUGCAAUUGGUAGACAAGCCAAAUGUUUUGUGGAUAAUCCUAACUUACCAAUAAUGAAAAUUUUAUAUAAAUAAUACUUGUACAGGAAAAAUCACUCUAAUGCAUUCUAGAGAUGCGCAACAACCGGCUGAAUUAGGGAAUACAGUUAUUUACAUAAUUAUCCUAUUAGAAAUCCAUCCUUUAUAAAACUUGGCAUUUUCAAAUAGCCUAUCGUAUGUACAAAUAAAAAAAUAUAUCGUAUGAUAAAAUGAUGUGUCAAACCCUUGAAACCAUUGGACAUUUUAAUCACUCAAAACUGGUCAUGAACCUACCAACUUGGUUCUCCAGAGUACUUAAUAGUGAAACAGAAGCAAAAUAGACUUUCAAACCACCACAAACAGUAGCAAUACAUAAUGAAAUGAAGUUACUAAUAUGCAUCAUUCACACAUGAGCAGGUUUGACAUGAACAAGUACAAGAAAAUAGAACUGUAGAGAUGCGGCAAAAAUCAACUAGCUAAUAAAAUUAAGAUCGAGCACAAAUGUACUAGCUAAAUCAAGUUAGCAUCUAUUUAUCAGAGAAAUUAACCAUCGUGUUGACGCCUUGUAGAUUUGCACCACGGCACACAGGUUGGUUCGGAAGGAGCCGAGGAGCCCACCACCUAUGGCAACAGUCUGUGUGUCAGAAUAUAUACUAGGACACUUCCAAUUGUUGACUCUUAGUAUUCGAUGCACAAAUUGUUGACCCUCAAUGUCACCAUCUUUGGGAAUCAUAAUUCAUAUAUUCUAGGACACUUCUUAUUCUCUGUUAAACUGGAGCAAUUUCAACGAUGAAUCAUAUAUAUGUGAAUCAGGAUUUUGAUAUGCUGAUAAUUAUACAAAUUUCAUUUUACUUUUUGCCUAGCAGAAUCAAUUUACUUUCUUUCCAACUUUUCAUGCUAUUGGCUUUGGCUGUGUUCGGCAACCCUCUGCUCCUUCGCUACGGAGCAGAGCGCGCGGAGCACCCUGCUAGCAGCUCGCCGAAAUAUAGCUGCAUCCCCCUCCGCUCCACAGCGGAGUUGCAGAGCCGAGGAAUCCUGAGCAGCUCCUUUGUAUACGGAACUGCGAGUAUUAAUAUUUUUUGUGAAUUAUAUGCUAAACUGCAAGACGCUGAAAUUAGCUGACUGCAUUCAAUCUUCUAACUUGAUUCUCCAUAUUACUUAUGAGUGAAACAAAACUUCCAAAUUAGAGUACCAAAACGCUAGUACAGUAGCAAUACACCAUCAAAUCCAAGUUAGUGUGCAUCAUUCACUGAGAAGAUUUGACAUGAACAAAAAAUAGAACUAGAGAGAUGCAGCAUAAAUCUACUCGAUAGUAAAAUUGGGAUGUAUCACAAAUUCACUAGCAAAUAAAAGUUAGCGUCUAUUUACCAGGAAAAUGAACCACCUCGUCGCACGGGCUGGAGGGGAAGGAGCCGAGGAAACCACCACUGGCUAGCCGCCGACGUGGGGGAGGAGGGCGCUAGCUGUUACUGGAGAGAGGAGGCGACGAACCAACCGAUGUCGGAAGCUUCAGAAGGGAAUCUGCGACGGAAGCUGCGGGGCGGAGGUUAGUUGGUGAUGAGCUCCGAUCUGGUCCGCCUCAAACUGAGCCGCCAGCCACAAAACGUCAAGGAGCCAUCGGGAGAAGGAG
rnacentral:lncRNA from 1 species